UGGACAGAUUAUUGUAUUCGACUGUAUUCACGGCAUGAAAUAGGGGAUUACACUGUUUUUAAACGGAAAGUGAAUCAAUUAAUAUAAUAGACUCCU
rnacentral:pre_miRNA from 1 species